AGUUUGAUCCUGGCUCAGAACGAACGCUGGCGGCGUGGAUAAGACAUGCAAGUCGGACGAGACUUUUCGUUGUAGCAAUACGAUGGAAAGUCUAGUGGCGAACGGGUGCUUAACACGUGGGCAACCUGCCAAGAAGUGGGGGACAGCUCGCCGAAAGGCGGAUUAAUACCGCAUGUGAUUAGAGAGGACAUCCUUUCGAAAUUAAAGUCGGGGCAACCUGACGCUUCUUGUGGGGCCCGCGGCCUAUCAGCUAGUUGGUGAGGUAACGGCUCACCAAUGCUUUGACGGGUAGCUGGUCUGACAGGACGAUCAGGCACACUGGGGACGAGACGGGGCCCUGGACGCUGCGG
rnacentral:rRNA from 1 species